CAUUGAUGUGCAGCGAGAGAUGUUUAAGCACUUAGGCUGGAUUUUGUAUUGUACAAGAAGUGGACCAAAUGUUGUGGAUGCGAUUGAAGAGUUCAUGCAAGUAUAUGUUGACCAAAGUGUCUUUAUGGAUUAUUUCAAGAGGAGGUGGUUACCAUAUAUAGAGUUGUGGGUUAAUGGCAUAAGGUCUCUUCCUGUGGCUGGUGCAGAGCCCCUGGCUGCAAUUGAAUCCUAUCACACGAGGUUGAAAUUAAAGCUUUUUAAUGAGCGACAUUCCAAUUCCUGGAUGAGGAUUGACUGGUUAAUCCACACUUUGACCACUGAAUUUCACUCCUUAUAUUGGUUAGAUCAAUACAGUGAAGAAAGUGGGUAUUUUGCAAAUAUAAGGGACGAGUCUUUCUUAACUAAUUCUUGGCAUCAGGCUUUGCAUAUUUCCGACAUUGAUGUGAUGUUGGAUGAGCAAAAUCUCCAACUUGCAAAAGUCAUCUCUCAAACUGACAGAAGUCGGGCAUAUACAGUUUGGAAUCCUGGUACAGAAUUCUCCCUCUGUGACUGUCCCUGUUCAAGGCUGGGGAAUCUUUGUAAGCAUGUCAUUAAGGUGGCAAUCUUAUGUAAAAGUCGGCAGGUUGCAAGGCCGCUAUUGGCAGUUCAAGUUUAUCGGCAGGCCUUGCUUACCCUUCUGCAGAAUCCUCCUGAUGAUCCUCUAGUUCUCGAGCAUGCAAUUUUGCAUGCAACACGCUUGCAACACGAUAUCAAAGGCUUGGAAGACUUGUCUAACAGUGGUUUGCUCCAGCCUUUACCUCCUGAAGUGAACCCUCAAAUAGGAGAGAAUCUGCUUUUUCCACGUUUUCUUUGAUUGGGCCUUUGAAAGNUUGACUCUACCAAGUCAUUAAUUUGCACCAGCGUGCUUUGAAAAGUUCAGUUCCUGCGUGCAUGAAUUUCAGAUUCUUCAGCAGUGCAGAUACAUUGCAUUGACUUCCGUAUUUCGCUGUAUCCUUAACUGGGGCAUGGAGAGAGAGAGAGACACGCACACACACACACACACACACAAAAAAAAACCUACAGAGGGUACACAGUAGAGGAAGAAAGAAGAAGUUUAUUAUCUCAAUUCUCUAAUUAUGCUGAGGAAAUGUGUAAUAUGCAAGUUACAUGGUCAGGAUCAACGGCUGGUAACGUUAAAGUUGGAUAUUUGCUUGGAACUUUGCAAAUGGUCAUCUUGGGUUGCUGCCUGCUUGUAGAGUCCCAUUAUUGUCGAGUUUGAAGGCAUUAUAUGCAAUGGGGGAAAUCUUCAUAUUGUUUGAUUCUUCUGAA
rnacentral:misc_RNA from 1 species